GUACAAUACCCAAGCCAUGCAAACCAAGUCAUCAAACAGGAAGAAAAAAGGAAUUAUGAAAAAGCAAAGAGAUAAAAUGGGAGUCCUCUAUUCUGGAAACUAACUUCAUGCAUCAGAAAAGUAGCCUAUACUAUGUCAAACAUCUCAGUGGUAUUCGUUUUCUGGCCAUAAGCCACAGAAAUGUUGAUUGAGUGUACCUCAGACUUUAG